GACGAACGCUGGCGGCGUGCUUAAUACAUGCAAGUAGAACGCAGUUGCGAACGGGUGAGUAACACGUAGGUAACUGCCUCAUAGCGGGGGAUAACUCUUGGAAACGGUAUCUAAUACCGAAUACUGUGAGAUGGCGCUGCGUUGUAUGAGCUUGUUGGUGAGGUAAAGGCUCACCAAGGCGACGAUACACAGCCGAGCUAGGAGGGCUGUCGGCCACACUGGGACUGUGAGACUGCCCAGACGCCUACGGGAGGCAGGAGAAGGGAAUCUGCGGCAAGUGACGGAAGGCUGGACGGGCAACGCCGGCGGCGUCAAGAAGGUGUUCGGAUCGUAAGGCUCUGUUAUUAGAGAAGCGGUAACUAACCAAAAAGCGACGGCUAACUACGUGCCAGCAGCCGCGGUAAUAC
rnacentral:rRNA from 1 species